rnacentral:rRNA from 1 species
UACGUAGGUGGCAAGCGUUGUUCGGAAUUACUGGGCGUAAAGGGCGCGUAGGCGGCCUUCUAAGUCGAACGUGAAAUCCCCGGGCUCAACCCGGGAACUGCGUCCGAUACUGGAAGGCUUGAAUCCGGGAGAGGGAUGCGGAAUUCCAGGUGUAGCGGUGAAAUGCGUAGAUAUCUGGAGGAACACCGGUGGCGAAGGCGGCUACCUGGCCUGUUCUUGACGCUGAGGCGCGAAAGCUAGGGGAGCAAACGGG